rnacentral:tRNA from 1 species
GGCCGGGUAGCUCAGUUGGUUAGAAUGUCGUGCUAAUAACGCGAAUGUCGCGGGUUCGAUCCCCGUAUUGGCCA